rnacentral:rRNA from 1 species
CGCGAAUUCGCCCUUCGGGGUGCAGCAGGCGCGAAAACUUUACAAUGCCGGCAACGGCGAUAAGGGAACCUCGAGUGCCAGGUUACAAAUCUGGCUGUCGUGAUGCCUAAAAAGCAUUGCAUAGCAAGGGCCGGGCAAGACCGGUGCCAGCCGCCGCGGUAACACCGGCGGCUCGAGUGGUAACCGUUAUUAUUGGGUCUAAAGGGUCUGUAGCCGGCCGGGUAAGUCUCUUGGUAAAUCUGGCAGCUUAACUGUCAGGCUUUCAGGAGAUACUGCCUGGCUCGAGGCCGGGAGAGGUGAGAGGUACUUCAGGGGUAGGGGUGAAAUCUUGUAAUCCUUGAAGGACCACCAGUGGCGAAGGCGUCUCACCAGAACGGACCUGACGGCAAGGGACGAAAGCUAGGGGCACGAACCGGAUUAGAUACCCGGGUAGUCCUAGCCGUAAACGAUACUCGCUAGGUGUCGGCCACGGUGCGACCGUGGUCGGUGCCGUAGGGAAGCCGUGAAGCGAGCCACCUGGGAAGUACGGCCGCAAGGCUGAAACUUAAAGGAAUUGGCGGGGGAGCAC